UACAGAGGUCUCAAGCGUUGUUCGGAUUCAUUGGGCGUAAAGGGUGUGUAGGUGGCGCGCUAAGUCAGGUGUGAAAUUUUGGAGCUUAACUCCGAAACUGCAUUCGAUACUGGCGUGCUUGAGGACUGGAGAGGAGACUGGAAUUCCUGGUGUAGCGGUGAAAUGCGCAGAUAUCAGGAAGAACACCCGUGGCGAAGGCGGCUCUCUGGGACGGUACUGACGCUGAGACGCGAAAGCGUGGGGAGCGAACAGG
rnacentral:rRNA from 1 species